ACUAACAAGGAUUCCCCUAGUAACUGCGAGUGAAGCGGGAAAAGCUCAAAUUUAAAAUCUGGCGGUCUUCGGCCGUCCGAGUUGUAGUCUGGAGAAGUGCUUUCCGCGCUGGACCGUGUAUAAGUCUCUUGGAACAGAGCGUCAUAGAGGGUGAGAAUCCCGUCUUUGACACGGACUACCAGUGCUUUGUGAUGCGCUCUCAAAGAGUCGAGUUGUUUGGGAAUGCAGCUCAAAAUGGGUGGUGAAUUCCAUCUAAAGCUAAAUAUUGGCGAGAGACCGAUAGCGAACAAGUACCGUGAGGGAAAGAUGAAAAGCACUUUGGAAAGAGAGUUAAACAGUACGUGAAAUUGCUGAAAGGGAAACGCUUGAAGUCAGUCGCGUCGUCCGGAACUCAGCCUUGCUUUCGCUUGGUGCACUUUCCGGAUGACGGGUCAGCAUCGAUUUUGACCGUCGGAAAAGGGCUGGAGUAAUGUGGCACCUCCGGGUGUGUUAUAGACUCUAGUCGCAUACGGCGGUUGGGAUCGAGGAACGCAGCGCGCCGCAAGGCAGGGGUUCGCCCACUUUCGCGCUUAGGAUGCUGGCAUAAUGGCUUUAAACGACCCGUCUUGAAACACGGACCAAGGAGUCUAACAUACCUGCGAGUGUUUGGGUGGAAAACCCGAGCGCGUAAUGAAAGUGAAAGUUGAGACCUCUGUCGUGGAGGGCAUCGACGCCCGGACCUGACGUUCUCUGAAGGAUCCGCGGUAGAGCAUGUAUGUUGGGACCCGAAAGAUGGUGAACUAUGCCUGAAUAGGGUGAAGCCAGAGGAAACUCUGGUGGAGGCUCGUAGCGAUUCUGACGUGCAAAUCGAUCGUCAAAUUUGGGUAUAGGGGCGAAAGACUAAUCGAACCAUC
rnacentral:rRNA from 1 species